AAGAGGAAUAUUACAUUAAAGUUUUAUAAAUUAUGGAAAAUGUAUUAUAAAGAUACACGAUCAAUGUUUUUAGCAUUACAGCUUUUACAAUAACUUGUAUUCUUUCUUAUUCUAAAAGUACUACAUGUACAUGCAGAAAAUUUAGAAAAAAUAAGCAAAAAAUAGUAAUGAGCUUUAACAUUAUAAAAUAAAUGUAUUGGAGUUCCCAUCGUGGCGCAGUGGUUAACGAAUCCGACUAGGAACCAUAAGGUUGCGGGUUCGGUCCCUGCCCUUGCUCAAUGGGUUAACGAUCCGGCGUUGCCGUGAGCUGUGGUGUAGGUUGCAGACGCGGCUCGGAUCCCGUGUUGCUGUGGCUCUGGCGUAGGCCAGUGGCUGCGGCUCCAAUUCGACCCCUAGCCUGGGAACCUCCAUAUGCCGCGGGAGCGGCCCAAAGAAAUAGCAAAAAGACCAAAAAAUAAAUAAAUAAAUAAAUAAAAUAAAUGUAUUGACUCACAUGGUUAGGCAAGGUUACUUGGACCAAUCUUACUGGUAAAAAUAAGUUAAAAUGCUAGAAAUUGACAGAAAAAAAGGAAAACAUAAAAAUUGUUUUAAAAAAAUGCUGGAAAAAAUAUUAAAAAAUAGUUUAAAAGCAUUGAAGAUAGGGGAAAACUUUAAUCUGGAGAGAGUACUAAGCACAGAAGCCCUUUGCUAAAAACAUAAAUUUCAGCUUGGCACUGGGGGGACAAGGACACAGAAAUCAAAGCUCUUGGCCCAUAAAGUGAGGAGUUCAGUAGCCAAUAUGGACUCACACCGUAAGUUGAAACUUCAAGAGAAUACACCUUUGUAGCAAAGGUAAACCAGAGAUAAACCAGUGCUAAGUACACCAGCUUGGGAGACUCAAGUCCUAGUAUUUCAGCUUAUAACAAUGCAGAUUUAUAAUGUCUUUACAUUCUUACAAAGGUAAUUAGUUCUGGCACUUAAGUCAGUUCUCUGACAUGUUAGUCUAUCCACCCUAAGGAAAUGAAAACAAC
rnacentral:lncRNA from 1 species